UCAACUUCCCCUUAUGCGUCUCAGCGUACCCAUUGCUCAUUGGCAUACACAUUUUAGGCUCUCGAUUCGCUUGGGCUUUAAUUCUUAAUCAACCGAUCAUUCCGCUCGCUCUGUCUCUCUACCGUUUUCUGAUUGCUAAACGUAACAAGUUUUUCCCUUCUUUUUUUAUCACUUAUUUUCAGAUUUUCUUUGAUACUGUUUCUUUCAGAUUGGUUUUUAUUUAUUUAGGCUCGAAUCAAUCAUCAAUAGAGAGUAUCAAGGAUAAUAAUCAACGGGCAACUUCCUUCAUUUUUCUAGAAAGUGGGCUCUAUACAAAUAUUGGGCAGAUAGCCGGUUGUGAUUCUGAAGUAUUGGUGCAACAACUGCGACUUGAAGACUUUGCCAUCCAUGAUCAAAACAACAAGAAGUUAAAUCCUAUAAAGAAAGUAAUCUUUUUCCCUUUUUUUUAUAAUCCUAUGUCUGUGUUACCUAUGUGAUGUAGUGGAAUAAUAUUUUAAGCUGGAGCAUAGAGAAUGAUACAUAGAUUUGAUAGAGAACUUGAGGAUAGAUGGUAUAAUUGAAA